CCCGGCAGGUUCCCCCACACACCCCGCGUCCCCGCGGGCGUUAGGGUCCCAGCCCGGCCGCGGGCUCCCCCGCCACAGCAGCUCCCUGCAGCAGGCCGGGCCUGAGUUCUGAGCCGGCGCUCGGCCGGGCGGGGCAGCUCCGUCUGCUGCCUUCGGCCGGGGGAGCCGUCGCGGGCUGCAGACCUGUGACCCCUCGGUCCCCAUCCCACCCCAGGCCCCUGUACCCUGCGGGGUGGCGGGGAUCCAUCAGGUCUGUCACUUCCUGCGCUGUCCCAGCCGGUGCAGGCCCGGGCCGCAGCCUUAUCUUCCGGGAGUCCUCUAAUCCGGGGUCCCCCUGGCCCAGAGCAAACGGGAGGAUCCCGAGGCAGGCGCUGCCCGGGUGAGGUUAGCGGGACCACGCUGCCCGGGACGCUGCCCGCGGCCGGGGACCGUCCUCCUCGCCCAGGCCCGACCCGGCCCCUUCUCUCCCAAGGCGCCUCCAGGCCCGAGUUCCUCCCCGCGGCCACCCGGGAAGGCGGCGAAGGCGCGGAAGACCUGGAGCGGGACAGCAGCGCGCUGAGUGUAACUGUCCCCUCCCCGCCCGGUCCUGUCCCCGGCCGCCCCUGCCCCCUGCUCCUCCCUCGCCCUCCCCUCCUCUCGGGAGCCCCCACGAGGACCUGGCCUAACCCAGGGAGCUGGGGCCUGGGCCCUCCCUCGUCCCUGUCACCUUGGCCACGCGCUGGCUUCUGGUCGGGUGGGGCUGGGGUCCCCGGGAGGCCUGGCCAGGCGGACCCGGACCCGGCCGGCUCUGAGCUGCGCCCCCCCCCCGCCGCCAGCUCUCGGGACUUUUCCAGUUGGAUGACAGCCCUGAAACGGGUUGCUCCAGAGCUGUGUCCCUGGAGACCGGGAGAGGAAGCACCGAGGGAGAGAAAGAACGUGCUGAGGGGGAAAGGGCACCGAGCAGCGCCGAGGAGGAGCAAGCGGGCAUCCAGCCCCCCACAGUGCUGACGAGGCCCUCAAGUCCCAGCGUCCCCUCUCCUGAGAACUGACCCUUGUCACCACCAUCGCUCCAGCCUGGCCAGGCUGCCCUGCCAUCCGCCUCCUAGGGCCAGGCUGCCGUGGUGCUGCAAUCGCGCCCUCCUUCCUCAAGCGGAAAACAGCCCACAGCUCAGCAGCCGUGGAUGUGCAGCCCCAGGAAGGGCCCGGGGAGCCCCCAGGACAGCCCACGGGCUUGUAGCUCCUGACCUUGGAGGGCCAGAUGUGCACUGUGGAGGCUCAGACGUGUGGCAGCAGCCCGGGCCUCUACCACAAGAUAUCAGUAACAAACCACGCCAUGUCCGCCUUCCCACCCCCAAACUGUGACAAUCAAAACCUGCCUUCAACCUGCCAAAGUCCCCUGCGGCUGGGCUGGGACCCACUCAGCCAGGCCAGGGAAUGCACAUGUGCUAUUGUUAGGCC
rnacentral:lncRNA from 1 species